GUUAAGAUGGCAGAGCCCGGCAAGUGCAUUAUUCUUAAACCUUUACAAUCAGAGGUUCAACUCCUCUUCUAAACACA
rnacentral:tRNA from 1 species